UACGUAGGGUGCAAGCGUUAUCCGGAAUUAUUGGGCGUAAAGAGCUCGUAGGCGGUUUGUCGCGUCUGCUGUGAAAACUGGAGGCUCAACCUCCAGCCUGCAGUGGGUACGGGCAGACUAGAGUGCGGUAGGGGAGAUUGGAAUUCCUGGUGUAGCGGUGGAAUGCGCAGAUAUCAGGAGGAACACCGAUGCGAAGGCAGAUCUCUGGGCCGAUAUUGACGUGAGGAGCGAAAGCGUGGG
rnacentral:rRNA from 1 species